UACGUAGGGUGCAAGCGUUGUCCGGAAUUAUUGGGCGUAAAGAGCUCGUAGGCGGUCUGUCGCGUCUGCUGUGAAAACUCAGGGCUUAACCCUGAGCUUGCAGUGGGUACGGGCAGACUAGAGUGCGGUAGGGGAGACUGGAAUUCCGUGGUGAUAGCGGUGAAAUGCGCAGAUAUCAGGAGGAACACCGGUGGCGAAGGCGGAUCUCGUGGGCAUUAACUGACGCUGGAGGAGCGAAAGCAUGGGGGAGCGAACAGGA
rnacentral:rRNA from 1 species